rnacentral:rRNA from 1 species
GACGAACGCUGGCGGCGUGCUUAACACAUGCAAGUCGCACGAAGUGGCGAACGGGUGAGUAACGCGUAAUCAACCUGCCCUUCAGAGGGGGACAAAAGUUGGAAACGACUGCUAAUAACGCAUACUGAAGGAGGGGAUUCCGUCUGAGUAGCUAGGUGGAGGGGUAACGGCCCAACAAGGCGAUGAUAAGUAGCCGGUCUGAGAGGAGGAACGGCCACAGUGGGACUGAGACACGGCCCAGACUCCGACGGGAGGCAGCAGUGGGGAAUCUUCCGCAAUUGACGAAAGUCUGACGGAGCAACGCCGCGUGAGUGAUGACGGCCGUCGGGUUGUAAAGCUCUGUUAAUCGGGACGCGGUACCGGAAUAGAAAGCCACGGCUAACUACGUGCCAGCCGCCGCGGUAAUUC